rnacentral:rRNA from 1 species
GAUGAACGCUGGCGGCGUGCCUAAUACAUGCAAGUCGAGCGAACAGAUGAGGAGCUUGCUCCUCUGACGUUAGCGGCGGACGGGUGAGUAACACGUGGAUAACCUACCUAUCAGACUGGGAUAACUUCGGGACACCGGAGCUAAUACCGGAUAAUAUAUUGAACCGCAUGGUUCAAUAGUGAAAGACGGUUUUGCUGUCACUUAUAGAUGGAUCCGCGCCGCAUUAGCUAGUUGGUAAGGUAACGGCUUACCAAGGCAACGAUGCGUAGCCGACCUGAGAGGGUGAUCGGCCACACGGGAACGGAGACACGGUCCAGACUCCUACGGGAGGCAGCAGUAGGGAAUCUGCCGCAAUGGGCGAAAGCCUGACGGAGCAACGCCGCGUGAGUGAUGAAGGUCUUCGGAUCGUAAAACUCUGUUAUUAGGGAAGAACAAAUGUGUAAGUAACUAUGCCCGUCUUGACGGUACCUAAUCAGAAAGCCACGGCUAACUACGUG